GACAGAGAAGUAAAACAUUACAAAUAGUUUCGACCUAUAAAAAGAGAUCUUUUAUUCUCCCUGCCUUU
rnacentral:tRNA from 1 species